ensembl:lncRNA
GAUCAGCGUCACUCGCCUCCUCAAGUUCCGUGCCCAUCAGAUGGCCCCUCGCCAUCUGUCUCCUGGUGUUGCCAGGAGGGUGCUGAGGACGGCAGUGGGUGUGGGCAGGGCUUCCAACCCUUGGCACUCCAACCCAAUGGGCACCCCGCCCUGCACCCCCUGUGGCUUCUCCCUCCCCGCAGCACCUGGCACAGAGCAGGUAGAGCGGCAGAGCAGGCAACCAUUGUCCUGCCACAGCCUGGGAAGGGCAGCAGCUGGGGCUGCAUCCAGGGCCAGGGCCUUCUUCCUGUGGUGAGUCAGAGACACACGUGUACCAACAGGCCGGGCAUCAGGAGAAGCCGACUUAGAGCCUCGACCUCCUUUGCAGCACUCUGGGAGGCCAGGAGCCGUGGAAGCCCCAGCUGGCUCCCUGGUCUGGGCAGAGCCGUGGCCUCAGAGGCGCCCGCGCCCACCCCCAGGACCUGUGGCUGUGUCACCCACCUGGCCAAGGGAACCCCAGGUGCAGAGAAAGAGGAUCAGCUCGCUUUAGGACAGGGCAGUCCUGACACCCUGGGCCGUGUCACCGCAGGGCCCUGGGCAAGGCAAGGCAGGAGCCGGGAGGUGGGAGGCUGGCCCAAUGGAGGCCAGUGCUAGGGGCCAGGACAGCAGCACGGCAGCAGCCCCGCCACAGCUGGACUGGCCAAACCAUCAAGGCCAGGCGGGGCGUCCGGCCCUGAGGGAGGGUCUGCAGACUUGUGCAGGGCCUGGGGGCUGCUGUUUCCUGCCCCACCAUGGCUUCCUCAUCACACCUCUGCCCUUCCCCAAGAGGACUUCCUGCCCUCUUGAGGAGAGACCAGCAGGGCCUGGCCCGCUUGGGAAGAAAGGCUGGGCGAACCUGUGCCCUCUGCCCAGCCCGGCCUGCUGGCCUGCCUGUGGGUCCCCAGCGAGGCAGAUGCCACACACACACACCCCGUGGAGGGCUGAGCCACUGCAGUUGAGGGCCGAUGGAAGUGUCUGGAAAGCACAUUCUGGAAGGCUCUGUGCUGGCUCCAGCCGCUGUAGGCCGGGAGUGGUCCCCUUCUUGGUCCUCAUUCCAGGGAGUCAGAGCGGGGGGCCUGCCUGGCACUGAUGGUGGGUUGGGGACUUGUCUGGGCAGAGGCGCGGCUGCCCAUCUGCUGCCCCGUGUGUGACCCGAGCCCAGCUCCCCGGGGCCCUGCCUGUGACUCCAACCCUGACCCAGGCCACACACCCAGGCCUCCUCGGUCUCCCUCUGCGGCUCCUCCCACCAACCCUGAGGUCCAAGAGGGCACCCCCGUGUAGCAGGCUCGCCGAGCACACACAGACACCUAUGUGUGCCACAGAGGGGGCCCCCAGGGGCUGCAUGUCCACGGCCAAAGCCACGCUGGCGGCCCGGAGCCUCCCCCGCAGGAGGCGUCCACGCUGGUGGUCAGUGGGAGCAACAGCAUGCUUGGCACAGCAGCAUGGGGUGCACAUUCGCCCAGCGGGUGGCCGCACCAGGGCCCCCGAAGCUUUCUACAUCUUGUUCGGCCUCAUUUUCCACGGUGCCCUGUGUCCAACUCCAAACCCCAAAGGCUCUGAAGACCAAAGCUGUUUUGCAUUUGUGGUUUUGCACGUGGGGAACUCGUUUGGCAGAGGAAGCAGAGCUGAAGACAAAACCCACUUGGUGCGGAUCGGUGUUUUCUUGUGGGGAGGAGUAGAACUGGGGAGGAAACCCAGGCCUCGCGCGGAGCAGCACCCCACUCCUUUCUGUUUUUCCUUUUCUUUCUGUUCUUUUGAGACAAGAUUCUGCUACAUAGUCCAGGCCGGCCUUGAACUAGUGAGGGUCCUUCUGCCUCAGCCUCCUGAGUACUAGGAUUACAGGCACACAACACGCCCGGCUUAUUUUCUUUUGACAAGGUCUCACUGAAUUCCCCAGACAAGACUCAAACUUGACACCCUCCUGCCUCAGCCUCCCUCAGUGCUGGGUUAAUAAGUGUGCACUACCACACCCAGCUAGAACCUGUGUUUCCUUUAAGAUUUUUCAGGGUGGAUAAAUGGGUCUUUGUGUGGAGGGAAAAAGUGGGGCGACUUUAAUGACUGACUUGUUCUCCUACCUCCUACGGGCUCUCAGUUGGUUUAGUGCAUUCUCCAGCCGACUAGGAGCCUGUGCGCCUCUCACACAAGUGCUCAGGCCCCUCAAGCAGCAGCUCGGCCCUCUCUAUGUCUGCAGCUCUCCACGGCUUAGCUCUGUGGCUCCUGCCCCACCCCACUGGUCUGCGCCCCUGCUGUUCCGUCCUCAGCCUCUCGAUCACUCUAGUGCCCCGUCCCCUCUGCUGCCCACCUGAUCCAUCACAGCGGGACACACUGCCCCGUGACAGCUGUGACGAAGCUGCAGCCUGCCAUGCCCACGUGGGUUCAGUCUCUGGACGCGGAGGCACUGGGAGUGAAGCACGCUUCCCAUGGAGUCGCUUUGUCCUGGGUCCUACCACCACUGGGACGUGCGUGGAGAGAAUCUGCCUGCUGACUGUCACUGUCCCCUCCCCCUUCUCCUUCUAGUACUGGGGGUUGAACUCAAGGCCUUCACACUGAGGUACGCCCCAGACCUUUAUGUAUCUUGAGACCGAGGCUCACUGAGCUGCCCAGGCUGGGCUGGAACUUGCGAGCCUCCUGCCUCAGCCUCCCGAGUGCUGGGACGCCCAACUCCCCCUUCCCUCCUUCUAGCCAGCACUCUGGCCAUAGAUGGCCUCUCAGGUAGACACUUUCUGCUGUCCAGGGCCGGCCUGUCCCCAGGGCAGUGUGGCGAGUGCUGCAGAGAAUCUGUGAUCUCACUUCUGUCACCAGCCGCAGUCUCAGGCCCCUCCCAGACCUUCCCGGGCAGCUGGGCUCACCGCUGCCACGGCCACUGCUUGCCCCGGGGCCCAUGCACUUGCAGCUGGCAGGGCUUCGCCAAGGCCCUGACUCGGGUCCCUGGGACUCCUCUGCCCACCCAGACACAGAUGCACUCAGACACAGGACUGCCUGCCACAUGGCCCUGCUCAUGAGGUGGCGGCCCAGGAGGCCGCAGGGCACUGUGUGGGCACUUGGUGGGCACAGAGGGCCUAGGCAGGGGCAGAGCCAGUUCUGGGCAGGGCAGCCACCCACGGAGGCCAGAGGCAGGUGGCAACCAAGGACCAUGGGCCGGAGGGUGCAGGAGGAGUGUGAGGGCAGACGGGAGGGCCAGAGAAUGCCAGUGUCCAGAGUGGCCUCUUGCACAGGGAUGUGAAGGAGUGGCAGGAGGGCAGAGGCCAGGAUGCAGGCAGGCAGGCACUUGGCACUGUGGGCCCCCCACCAGGAGGAGAUGCCCGGCGUGGUGAGGAGCAGCCCCGGCCUGCGUGUGGCCACACACUCAGCGGAGCGGGAAGCAAGCUGUCUUAC